AGUGAACGCUGGCGGUAGGCCUAACACAUGCAAGUCGAACGGCAGCACAGUAAGAACUUGCUCUUACGGGUGGCGAGUGGCGGACGGGUGAGGAAUACAUCGGAAUCUACUUUUUCGUGGGGGAUAACGUAGGGAAACUUACGCUAAUACCGCAUACGACCUACGGGUGAAAGCAGGGGAUCUUCGGACCUUGCGCGAUUGAAUGAGCCGAUGUCGGAUUAGCUAGUUGGCGGGGUAAAGGCCCACCAAGGCGACGAUCCGUAGCUGGUCUGAGAGGAUGAUCAGCCACACUGGAACUGAGACACGGUCCAGACUCCUACGGGAGGCAGCAGUGGGGAAUAUUGGACAAUGGGCGCAAGCCUGAUCCAGCCAUACCGCGUGGGUGAAGAGGGCCUUCGGGUUGUAAAGCCCUUUUGUUGGGAAAGAAAAGCAGCAGGUUAAUACCCCGCUGUUCUGACGGUACCCAAAGAAUAAGCACCGGCUAACUUCGUG
rnacentral:rRNA from 1 species